GACGAACGCUGGCGGCGUGCCUAAUACAUGCAAGUAGAACGCACAGUUUAUACCGUAGCUUGCUACACCAUAGACUGUGAGUUGCGAACGGGUGAGUAACGCGUAGGUAACCUGCCUGGUAGCGGGGGAUAACUAUUGGAAACGAUAGCUAAUACCGCAUAAUAUUGAUUAUUGCAUGAUAAUUGAUUGAAAGAUGCUAUUGCAUCACUACCAGAUGGACCUGCGUUGUAUUAGCUAGUAGGUGAGGUAACGGCUCACCUAGGCGACGAUACAUAGCCGACCUGAGAGGGUGAGCGGCCAAACUGGGACUGAGACACGGCCCAGACUCCUACGGGAGGCAGCAGUAGGGAAUCUUCGGCAAUGGACGAAAGUCUGACCGAGCAACGCCGCGUGAGUGAAGAAGGUUGUCGGAUCGUAAAGCUCUGUUGUAAGAGAAGAACGGGUGUGAGAGUGGAAAGUUCACACUGUGACGGUAUCUUAACAGAAAGGGACGGCUAACUACGUG
rnacentral:rRNA from 1 species